UGCGAAUGGCUCAUUAAAUCAGCUAUGGUUUAUUGGAUCGUACCCGUUAAAUGGAUAACUGUAAUAACUCUAGAGCUAAUACAUGCCUCGAUGCCCUGACCCUCACGGGGAUGGGUGCACUUAUUAGAUCAGAAGCCAACCGUGUUCUGUCGUGGCAACAUGGCUGGACGCGUUGACCUUCUGGUGACUCUGGAUAAUUGUUACAGAUCGCAGUCGGCCUUGAGUCGGCGACGGGUCCUUCAAAUGUCUGCCCUAUCAACUUUCGAUGGUAGGUGACCUGCCUACCAUGGUGAUAACGGGUAACGGGGAAUCAGGGUUCGAUUCCGGAGAGGGAGCCUGAGAAACGGCUACCACUUCCAAGGGAGGCAGCAGGCGCGCAAAUUACCCACUCCCAGUACGGGGAGGUGGUGACGAAAAAUACCGAUGCGGGACUCCUUAAAGAGGCUCCGUAAUCGGAAUGAGUGGACUAUAAAUCCUUUCACGAGGAUCAAUUGGAGGGCAAGUCUGGUGCCAGCAGCCGCGGUAACUCCAGCUCCAAUAGCGUAUAUUAAAGUUGCUGCAGUUAAAAAGCUCGUAGUUGGAUCUCGGUAGCACUGUUGCCUGUUGGUCUUUGGGUGGAUGGUUGCCGUAGCUAGCGUCGUUGUCGUUGCGUGUUACUGCGGGAUGCGGCGUUGGCUGCGGCGGCAGCUGUGCAUUCCAAGCUAGCGGGGUAGCGGUGUGACCUGUAAGCCAUGUCUGUGGUGAAAGCCGCAGGUGUGAGCGAGUGUCGGGCGACGUCCUGCGGUAGUGGGGCUUGUCGGCUCGUUUGCAUGCCUUUGGAUGCCCUUAAAAAGGUGUCUGUGGGCGGAUGGCACGUUUACUUUGAACAAAUUUGAGUGCUCAAAUCAGGCCGAUGUUGCCUGAAAAGUUUUGCAUGGAAUAAUGGAAUAGGACUUCGGUUCUAUUUCGUUGGUUUUCGGAUCCGAAGUAAUGAUCAAAAGAGACAGGCGGGGGCGUUUGUAUGGCUGCGCUAGAGGUGAAAUUCAUGGACCGUAGCCAGACAAACUAAAGCGAAAGCAUUCGUCAAGCAUGUUUUCAUUGGCCAUGAGCGAAAGUCAGAGGCUCGAAGACGAUCAGAUACCGUCCUAGUUCUGACCAUAAACGAUGCCAACUGACGAUCCGUGGUGGUAGUCUGUCAACCUUCCCCACGGGCAGUCCCCGGGAAACCUUUAAGUCUUUGGGUUCCGGGGGAAGUAUGGUUGCAAAGCUGAAACUUAAAGGAAUUGACGGAAGGGCACCACCAGGAGUGGAGCCUGCGGCUUAAUUUGACUCAACACGGGAAAACUCACCCGGGCCGGACACUAUGAGGAUUGACAGAUUGAUAGCUCUUUCUUGAUUUGGUGGUUGGUGGUGCAUGGCCGUUCUUAGUUGGUGGAGCGAUUUGUCUGGUUAAUUCCGAUAACGAACGAGACUCCAGCCUGCUAAUUAGUGCGUUCGUCCACUGUGCCUGUGUAGGCGGCGUCCAGCAUGGCUGCUCCUGUCUACUGUCCUGGUGUGUGUAUCGUUGCUGUCACUGUCGUCUUCGUCGUCAUUGCCGUUGCUGCUUAAGCUGCUGCUGUCGCGGCCGUCGUCGCUGCUGCUGCCGUCGCCGCCGCCGCCGUAGCGUGUCUCUGCAGUUGUGUGACUGUGGGGGUGUGUUGGCGGUGGUAGUGGUGGUGGUGGUGGUGGCGGUGGUGUUUGCGAUGGUGGUGGUAGCACAGGUUUUGGUGUCGGCGCUGGUGGCGGUUGCGUGGCCAGGGUGGUUUGGGCUGUGGCUGGUUCGGCGUUGGCCUCCGGGUACGGCGCGAAUGCCUACUUCUUAGAGGGACAAGCGGGAGAAGCCGCACGAAAUAGAGCAAUAACAGGUCUGUGAUGCCCUUAGAUGUCCGGGGCCGCACGCGCGCUACAAUGACGGUGGCAACGAGUCAGACCUUCUGGCCCGAAAGGGUUGGACAAACUGGUCAAUCACCGUCAUGACAGGGAUCGGGGCUUGGAAUUGUUCCCCGUGAACGAGGAAUUCCUAGUAAGUGCAAGUCAUAAGCUUGCGCUGAUUACGUCCCUGCCCUUUGUACACACCGCCCGUCGCUACUACCGAUUGAAUGGUUUAGUAAGGUCCUUGGAUUGGUGCCAUUGUGGUGGUUGUUGCCGCCGAAAGGUGGUGGCCCGCCAACGGG
rnacentral:rRNA from 1 species